rnacentral:misc_RNA from 1 species
AACCAUAGAAACCUGCGGAGUACCUGCGGAGGGAUCAUUGCAAAUCAAAAAGCGUCAGGAGGCAUGUUUGUACGCGGCUUGCCGCGUGCAACAUGGUUAACUGACAAAUUUGGUCGAGGAAGUGGAAACACUCUCCUCGUAUUCACGCUUGUAUUGUUUGACAGAGUAUGUAAUCAUAUCAAAAUGACAACUUUCAACAACGGAUCU